ACAAUUUUUUUGCAUUUCGUGUUAGACGUUAGAAUACUCCAGACAUGAAGUUUUUCAUCUCUUGUCCUUUACUUUUGUGUCUUUUAUAUUUACAGCCAAUAGUUAACGCCGGUGUCGCCCAUAACGGAUCUCAUCCACUAAAAUCUGGAGGAUGUGACAGUAGAGAAACUGGACCUAUGACAGCAGGACAGACGAUAUGGAUCCCUGGAAUAUGUAGUUCUGCUUUUUGUGAGCCUAGCGGGAAUAUUUAUUUCCAGGUAUGUCCUCUUAUUAGAACAAAUGAUCCGAACUGUCACGUAGGUAAAGUGGAUAUGUCUAAAGUGUAUCCCCAGUGUUGCCCAAAAAUAGUUUGUGAUAAUACACCAUAAAGCAAUAAAAUAAAAAUAUAUAGUUCAAUAAGAAA